rnacentral:rRNA from 1 species
AUUGAACGCUGGCGGCAUGCCUUACACAUGCAAGUCGAACAGCAGCACGGGUGCUUGCACCUGGUGGCGAGUGGCGAACGGGUGAGUAAUACAUCGGAACGUACCUUAUCGUGGGGGAUAACGCAGCGAAAGUUGCGCUAAUACCGCAUACGCCCUGAGGGGGAAAGCGGGGGACCGUAAGGCCUCGCGCGAUUAGAGCGGCCGAUGUCUGAUUAGCUUGUUGGUGAGGUAAAAGCUCACCAAGGCGAUGAUCAGUAGCUGGUCUGAGAGGACGAUCAGCCACACUGGGACUGAGACACGACCCAGACUCCUACGGGAGGCAGCAGUGGGAAAUUUUGGACAAUGGGGGCAACCCUGAUCCAGCAAUGCCGCGUGAGUGAAGAAUGCCUUCGGGUUGUAAAGCUCUUUUGUCAGGGAAGAAACAGCAGCUCUAACACAGUCUGCGAAUGACGGUACCUGAAGAAUAAGCACCGGCUAACUACGUGCCAGCCGCCGCGGUAA